UUGCCAGGCACAGUAAGAAUCUUCCACAAUGGACGAAAGUCUGAUGGAGCAACGCCGCGUGAGUGAUGAAGGUUUUCGGAUCGUAAAACUCUGUUGUUAAAGAAGAACAAGUGUUAGAGUAACUGUUAACACUUUGACGGUAUUUAACCAGAAAGCCACGGCUAACUACGUGCCAGCAGCCGCGGUAAUACGUAGGUGGCAAGCGUUGUCCGGAUUUAUUGGGCGUAAAGCGAGCGCAGGCGGUUUUGUAAGUCUGCUGUGAAAGCCCUCAGCUCAACUGAGGAAGUGCAGUGGAAACUACAAAACUUGAGUACAGAAGAGGAAAGUGGAACUCCAUGUGUAGCGGUGAAAUGCGUAGAUAUAUGGAAGAACACCAGUGGCGAAGGCGGCUUUCUGGUCUGUUACUGACGCUGAGGCUCGAAAGCAUGGGUAGCGAACAGGAUUAGAUACCCUGGUAGUCCAUGCCGUAAACGAUGAAUACUAGGUGUUGGAGGGUUUCCGCCCUUCAGUGCCGCAGCUAACGCAUUAAGUAUUCCGCCUGGGGAGUACGACCGCAAGGUUGAAACUCAAAGGAAUUGACGGGGGCCCGCACAAGUGGUGGAGCAUGUGGUUUAAUUCGAUGCUACGCGAAGAACCUUACCAGCUCUUGACAUCUUCUGCCAACCCAAGAGAUUGGGCGUUCCCUUCGGGGACAGAAUGACAGGUGGUGCAUGGUGUCGUCCAGGCUGCGUUUUCUUU
rnacentral:rRNA from 2 species